CUACUUAUUGAUGUUCACAAACUUCCAGGCUAAUAACUCUGAGUGGGGAAAGAAUUCACCAGAUUCUUCCACAGGCGACAUAACUUGCUCGGGUGAAUUAGAAGUAUGAAGUGGAAAGCAUAAUAGCUUGGAGGAGGCCCCACCUUGAGAAUAACAAAUGGGCAGUUCUCGCUGCACAACUUCCGCAUCCUAGGUGUGCCUAUAACCCUUUCCCAUAUCUUGAGCUGGCUGCUUAAACCUGAUCUGGCAGCUGCAGGAAAGCUGCAUGAAGCUCUUUCCUGUAAAUAUAUGAACAAAGGCUAAGAAAUGCCAGAUGAAAACUGAAACUAUGAAGAUCUGACUUACAGCUGCAAAGGAAAAGGAGCAGAAAUAAACUGUUUGCAUCAGAAGUUGCAUUCAAUCGCAUGAAAAAUUGCAAGUGACAGCUGUGCAGGUUCAGUGGAUGGGACGUUUCUGACUUUCUUCAACUUGACAAGUGAACACCUUACAUCGGUAAUGCUGUAUGCAUAAUACAUGGCCUGUAUUUUGACAUCCAUCUUCAGACGCUGACUGGAGAAAAUAUGGGUGUGUUCCUCAAGGAGCAGAACCCAUAAAGCAGACAGAGACGCGGGUCCCGCGGUGCUAGGAAAGCUGUAUUUCACUGCCGAGACUGCAACAGGCCGGAGCAUCCUUUUGUUUUAUCUUAUUUAAGGGUUCCAUUUUCAGCUGUGAAAAGACUCAGCCCCUUGCAUGAAGCCUUCACUAAGAAAUGGCACGUCCGCUUCCCAGGCCCCUUUCACUUUGCUUCCGUAUCCCAUUUCCCUCUGAAGACUUCAAGUGUGGGUCCAUCAGCAUCUACACCUGAGAAGCUGAUGGGUGGACAGAUACCACCCCCCCCCCGUGGAAGGUCUGCCUCCCCUUCAUCUGUGACCCCCCAAGAAGAGGGUACUAAUGCUGACAUGGGAACUUCAGAGAUAUUAUGCCUCUUCCUAUUUUGUGACUUUUCUGGCCUCCCAGAAAAGUUGAGGGUGGAGGUGGGUGUGGGGGCAAAAUUGACAAAAGUGUAGGUUUUCUCCUUUCCUCUCAUACAGCUGUAGUAAUGACUCAGACUUAACUAGCAUUGUUUUUCCCCUUUAGGGACCCAUCUAUAGGAAAAACUAAUGUUCUGAAGCCCCAGGGUUUUGCAGACUUCCUAAAUGACCUUGAAGAGAAGAGAAAUCCAGGUGUAUUCCAUCUGAAGGAGUGAGCUCCUGAAUAACAUUGAACAGGAAACUACAUGCAUGUCAAGCCUUGGGAAAUAAUUGUGUUAAGGAUUCAUCCAACAGACAUACUGCAGAAAAACACUUAAGGGCAUUAAAAACUAAUGUAUAAUCCAUUUUUGAAGGAUUCAAAACAUCAUUUUGAGAGAACAAAGUUCUAAGAAGGAACUGACCUGACCAAGGCUGCAGCAGGAAAAGAGGCUUGAGACGAAAUGAGCCAAAGAGGUUCCUGGUUCCCAGGCCGUUCUUAUUUCAACAUCCCACUAUUUUAUGAGUCACCAAAUAUCAGAGCAGAGGUCAUGGAGUGCAUGUGUCAAGUCCUACUUGAUAAGGAGCCCAUGAAAACCCGCUGUACACCAUGCACACUAAUGAGGGGAGCAUCAGCGGGCGCUGCUUUCCAGUACAAGAGUGGCAUGUCCUGAUUCGUGGCCGUUCUCUUACCCAGCUUACCCUCUUCAGACAUACUGUCCCCUCCCUUUCUCUUCCAGCCAGCUUUUCAGCCACUCCCUCUGGGAAGCCUUAGAGACAUUCUGCCCAUGCUUCGACUCGCUUCACACACCUGCCUUCUGAAUCCCAGCGUGCCCUUUCCAUCACUGUUUUAACGUGCUUGAAUUACUGCUGACAAUAGAGUACUUGCUGUAUGUUGAUAUUUAUACAUGCUUAAGCCUCGUCCAUCUGCUUCUCUUGAUCACCAUCUACCUAGUGGACCCCUCAUUUCAAUAUGGUAGAAACCAAAUCUGACUUUCCGCCUGUAUUAGUUAUUCUCUGUCCCUGUUCUGGAAAGCUCUUCUUACUGCCACCACAACAGGACAAAGGACAUUUGGCUACCAACAUAAGGUCUCAUCUUUCAUGAAGGAUUGUAUUUCCAGUAAACUGGGGAUUUGCUAUGGCAGGGCACAUGCAGACAUAUACAUUUACAGGGGGGUGACAUGAUGUGGGUGCUAAUAAAACACAUAGAAAUCCUCCUGUCUGCUGCCAAGAUUAUAUAGCACUUUGUUUCCAUUACAUCAAUUUUUCUCCCCCUUUUGUGAACAUUAAUCAAAGAAAUACAAAGAGCUCAUUAAAGUGAUAGA